GUGUCCCAGGUAACUGUCCCCAUGUCCUGCUAACACCAGGUACCUGUCCCCGUGUCCCAUGUACCUGUCCCCAUGUCCUGCUACAACCAGGUCCCUGUCCCCAUGUCCUGCUACAACCAGGUCCCUGUCCCCAUGUCCUGGUACAACCAGGUCCCUGUCCCCAUGUCCUGCUACAACCAGGUAACUGUCCCCAUGUCCUGCUAACACCAGGUACCUGUCCCCGUGUCCCAUGUACCUGUCCCCAUGUCCUGCUACAACCAGGUCCCUUUCCCCAUGUCCUGGUACAACCAGGUCCCUGUCCCCAUGUCCUGCUACAACCAGGUCCCUUUCCCCAUGUCCUGGUACAACCAGGUCCCUGUCCCCAUGUUCUGCUACAACCAGGUACCGGUCCCCAUGUCCUGCUACAACCAGGUACCGGUCCCCAUGUCCUGCUACAACCAGGUACCGGUCCCCAUGUCCUGCUACAACCAGAUACCGGUCCCCAUGUCCUGCUACAACUAGGUACCUGUCCCC